rnacentral:misc_RNA from 1 species
CAAAACGUUUAUCCAUAGUCCACCCCGGCGCCAAUCCAGGCAAAGGGGCCAAAGAAUGAUUAAAGGUAGGCAUGAUGCCGGGUACAACGAUUUUGGCGGAGCUGACGUAAAGCAGCUCCGCCAAAUGAUCGUAUAACCCGCGAUACCUGCGGAUACAUGUAUU